rnacentral:rRNA from 1 species
CCUACGGGGGGCAGCAGUGGGGAAUAUUUCACAAUGGGGGAAACCCUGAUGCAGCAACGCCGCGUGAGUGAAGAAGUACUUCGGUAUGUAAAGCGCUAUCAGCAGGGAAGAGUAUGCCGGUACCUGACUAAGAAGCCCCGGCUAACUACGUGCCAGCAGCCGCGGUAAUACGUAGGGGGCGAGCGUUAUCCGGAUUUACUGGGUGUAAAGGGAGCGUAGACGGUUCUGCAAGUCAGAAGUGAAAGCCCGGGGCUUAACCGCGAAACGGCUGUGGAAACUGUGGAACUGGAGUGCAGGAUAGGCAAGCGGAAUUCCUAGUGGAGCGGGGAAAUGCGUAGAUAUUAGGAGGAACACCAGUGGCGAAGGCGGCUUGCUGGACAGUAACUGACGUUGAGGCUCGAAAGCGUGGGGAGCAAACAGGAUUAGAUACCCGGGUAGUC